GAUGAAGAACGCAGCGAAAUGCGAUAAGUAAUGUGAAUUGCAGAAUUCAGUGAAUCAUCGAAUCUUUGAACGCACAUUGCGCCCGCCAGUAUUCUGGCGGGCAUGCCUGUUCGAGCGUCAUUUCAACCAUCAAGCCCCCGGCUUGUGUUGGGGACCUGCGGCUGCCGCAGGCCCUGAAAACCAGUGGCGGGCUCGCUGUCACACCGAGCGUAGUAGAUUUUCAUCUCGCUCAGGGCGUGCUGCGGGUUCCGGCCGUAAAAAGCCUUAUUUACCCAAGGUUGACCUCGCAUCAGGUAGGAAGACCCGCUGAACUUAAGCAUAUCAAUAAGCGGAGGA
rnacentral:misc_RNA from 1 species